UACGGGGGGGAGCAAGCGUUUGUUCGGAUUUACUGGGCGUAAAGGGCGCGUAGGCGGUCAGCACAAGUCAGUUGUGAAAUCUCCGGGCUUAACUCGGAAAGGUCAACUGAUACUGUGCGACUAGAGUGCAGAAGGGGCAACUGGAAUUCUCGGUGUAGCGGUGAAAUGCGUAGAUAUCGAGAGGAACACCUGCGGCGAAGGCGGGUUGCUGGGCUGACACUGACGCUGAGGCGCGAAAGCUAGGGGAGCAAACGGG
rnacentral:rRNA from 1 species